UUGAUAAGUCUCUGGUGAAAUCCUAUAGCUUAACUGUGGGACUUGUUGGAGAUACUAUUAAACUUGAAGCCGGGAGAGGUUAGAGGUACUCCCAGGGUAGGGGUGAAAUCCUGUAAUCCUGGGAGGACCACCUGUGGCGAAGGCGGCUAACUGGAACGAACCUGACGGUGAGGGACAAAAGCCAGGGGCGCAAACCGGAUUA
rnacentral:rRNA from 1 species